ensembl:lncRNA
ACACAUGGUUAGCAGAUGUUAUUGGUCACAUACACAUGGUUAGCAGAUGUUAUUGGUCACAUACACAUGGUUAGCAGAUGUUAUUGGUCACAUGGUUAGCAGAUGUUAUUGGUCACAUACACAUGGUUAGCAGAUGUUAUUGGUCACAUACACAUGGUUAGCAGAUAUUAUUGGUCACAUGGUUAGCAGAUGUUAUUGGUCACAUGGUUAGCAGAUGUUAUUGGUCACAUGGUUAGCAGAUGUUAUUGGUCACAUGGUUAGCAGAUGUUAUUGGUCACAUGGUUAGCAGAUGUUAUUGGUCACAUGGUUAGCAGAUGUUAUUGGUCACAUGGUUAGCAGAUAUUAUUGGUCACAUGGUUAGCAGAUGUUAUUGGUCACAUGGUUAGCAGAUGUUAUUGGUCACAUACACAUGGUUAGCAGAUGUUAUUGGUCACAUACACAUGGUUAGCAGAUGUUAUUGGUCACAUACACAUGGUUAGCAGAUAUUAUUGGUCACAUGGUUAGCAGAUGUUAUUGGCCACAUACACAUGGUUAGCAGAUGUUAUUGGUCACAUACACAUGGUUAGCAGAUAUUAUUGGUCACAUGGUUAGCAGAUGUUAUUGGUCACAUGGUUAGCAGAUGUUAUUGGUCACAUACACAUGGUUAGCAGAUAUUAUUGGUCACAUGGUUAGCAGAUGUUAUUGGUCACAUGGUUAGCAGAUGUUAUUGGUCACAUGGUUAGCAGAUGUUAUUGGUCACAUACACAUGGUUAGCAGAUAUUAUUGGUCACAUGGUUAGCAGAUGUUAUUGGUCACAUGGUUAGCAGAUAUUAUUGGUCACAUGGUUAGCAGAUGUUAUUGGUCACAUGGUUAGCAGAUGUUAUUGGUCACAUGGUUAGCAGAUGUUAUUGGUCACAUACACAUGGUUAGCAGAUGUUAUUGGUCACAUGGUUAGCAGAUGUUAAUGGUCACAUGGUUAGCAGAUGUUAUUGGUCACAUACACAUGGUUAGCAGAUGUUAUUGCGAGUGUAUUCAAAAUGCUUGGUAUGACUAUAAUAACUUGUUCAUAUUUUACCUAUAAACAAUUACGUGACUUACUUUUGAUAUUACCCUAAUAAAGUUAAACUUUUUGUGAAUGUUAUGUACAGUAUGGCUAUUAUUAGACUGAGCUCCUGCAGGCCUAUGAAGGCAGUGAGCACCAGACUCAGACAGCUUAGCUUGAGGUGAGGAAGAAUGUUUUAGGCCUACCAGAGUUACACCUUUAAUCUAAUAUUAAUCUUCAUAAAUAACAUUCUGAUUGAAAAUAUAUGAAUUAGCAUUCUGUACGCCUGUAUCAGCAGUAUCCUAUCUGACAAGUUUAAAGAAAUCCAUGUCGAUGUCGGGAACAUUGGCAUAUCUCUAUCUUUCUCUAGGGUUAGGCCUAAGCUUGUCUAAGGUCGAUGUACACGGCCUGUGGCAAUCUAAUUAGCGUAAUACAACAAUCCCCAUAAAAAUCUGUCAGUUUAAGCUAAAUAUCUAGUUUUUUUUGUUGCAUUGGAUCCAUCCGCCAAUGUCACACUUCCACAUCUGUGAUGAAAGGUGACAGAGCUAGAGCGGUGCUUGUCAGACCAUGAGACACCCCAAAAAUUGGUCUUCUCAUGAAAACAUCCAUAGCGGCCGAUCGGUUUGGCCUACAAACUAUUACCCCUCUAUGGAAAGAUGAAACUCUCGGGAGCAUCUUGGUUGUUUUGCUCUAAGAUGCCUCAUAAGACUCGUCUGAAUGUCCCCGGGCAACAGUGAUUUUUUUUUAAAAAGUACUGUAUACAGUGAUUCGGAAAAUAUCCAAAUCCCUUGACUUUUCCACAUUUUGUUAUGUUACAGACUUACUCUAAAAUUGAUUUACAAAUGCUAAAUCUACACACAAUAGCACAUUAUGACCAGGCAAAAACAGUAAAACGAAAAAAAAAUGUUUGCGAAUUUCUAAAAAGAAAAAACUGAUAUUACAUUUACAUAAGCAAACUGGAUGCAGUAUAUCACAGUGCCAUCCGUUUUGUCACUAAAGCACCUUAUACCACCCACCACUGCGACUUGUAUGCUCUAGUCGGCUGGCCCUCGCUACAUAUUCGUCGCCAGACCCACUGGCUCCAGGUCAUCUACAAGUCCAUGCUAGGUAAAGCUCCGCCUUAUCUCAGUUCACUGGUCACGAUGGCAACACCCAUCCGUAGCACGCGCUCCAGCAGGUGUAUCUCACUGAUCAUCCCUAAAGCCAACACCUCAUUUGGCCGCCUUUCGUUCCAGUACUCUGCUGCCUGUGACUGGAACGAAUUGCAAAAAUCGCUGAAGUUGGAGACUUUUAUCUCCCUCACCAACUUCAAACAUCAGCUAUCUGAGCAGCUAACCGAUCGCUGCAGCUGUACAUAGUCUAUUGGUAAAUAGCCCAUUUUCACCUACCUCAUCCCCAUACUGUUUUUAUUUAUUUACUUUUCUGCUCUUUUGCACACCAAUAUCUCUACCUGUACAUGACCAUCUGAUCAUAUAUCACUCCAGUGUUAAUCUGCAAAAUUGUAACUAUUCGUCUACCUCCUCAUGCCUUUUGCACACAUUGUACAUUGUAUAUAGACUCCCCCUUUGUUUUCUACUGUGUUAUUGACUUGUUAAUUUGUUUAUUCCAUGUGUAACUCUGUGUUGUCUGCUCACACUGCUAUGCUUUAUCUUGGCCAGGUCGCAGUUGUAAAUGAGAACUUGUUCUCAACUAGCCUACCUGGUUAAAUAAAGGUGAAAUAAAUAAAAAUAAAUAAAUAAAAUAAAUAAGUACUCAGACCCUUUACUCAGUACUUUGUUGAAACACAUUUGGCAGCGAUUACAGCCUAGAGUCUUCUUGGGUAUGACGCUACAAAGUUGGCACACCUGUAUCUGGGGAGUAUCUCCCAUUCUUCACUGCAUAUCCUCUCAAGCUCUGUCAGGUUGGAUGGGGAGUAUUGCUGCACAGCUUUUUCAGGUCUCUCCAGAGAUGUUCAAUCGUGUUCAAGUCCCUGCCUGUGCCAUCCAAGGAUUUUCAGAGACUUGUCCCGAAGCCACUCCUGCGAUGUCUUGGCUGUCUGCUUAGGGUCAUUGUCCUGUUGGAAUGUGAACCUCGCCCCAGUCUGAGCUACUGAGAUCUCUGGAUCAGGUUUUCAUCAAUGGUCUCUCUGUACUUUGCUCCAUUCAUCUUUGCCUUGAUCCUGACUAGUCUCCCAGUCCCUGCCGCUGAAAAACAUCCAUACAGCAUGAUUCUGACACCACCAUGCUUCACCAUAGGGAUGGUACCAGGUUUCCUCGAGACAUGGCGCUUGGCAUUCAGGCAAAAGAUUUAAAUCCAGAGAAUCUUGUUUCUCAUGGUCUGAGAGUCUUUAGGUGCCUUUUGACAAACUCCAAGCGGGCUGUCAUGUCUUUUACUGAGGAGUGGCUUCCAUCUGGCCACUCUACAACAAAGGCAUGAUUGUUGGAGUGCUGCAGAGAUGAUUCCUUCUGGAAGGUUCUCCCAUUUCUACAGAGGAACUCUGUGAGAGUGACCAUCGGGUUCUUGGUUACCUCCCUGACCAAGGCCCUUCUCCCCUGAUUGCUCAGUUUGACCGGGAGGCCAGCUCUAGGAAGAGUCUUGGUGGAUCCAAACUUCUUCCAUUUAAGAAUGAUGGAGGCCACUGAUCUUAGGGACCUUCAGUGCUGCAGAAAUGUUUUGAUACCGUUCACCAGAUCUGUGCCUCGACAUAAUCCUGUCUCGGACAAUUCCUUCGACCUCAUGGCUUGGUUUUUGCUCUGACAUGCACUGUCAACGGUCAGACAAUAUGUAGACAGAUGUGUGCCUUUCCAAAUCAUGUCCAAUCAAUUGAAUUUACAAUUGAAUUUACAACAGUUGGACUCCAAUCAAGUUGUGGAAACAUCUCAAGGAUGAUUAAUGGAAACAGGAUGCACCUGAGCUCAAUUUCGAGUCUCAUGGCAAAUGGUCUGAAUACUUAAGUAAAAAAAAUGUUUUCUAUAUUCUAUAUUCUAUAUUCAAUACAAUGUUUUUGCUUUGUCGUUAUGGGGUAUUGUGUGUAAUUGCUGAAUAUUUGUGUUUAUUUUAUUAGUUCUAGAAUAAGGCUCUUAAGGUGUCUGAAGACUUUCUGAAGGCACUAUAUCUCUAAUGUAUGUUAUCCAGGCCGUGUCUAACUACGGAAUGUUACCCAGAAUACAUCUAACAACAGUAUGAUCCCCAGGCUAUGUCUCUGCUGUAUGUUACCCAGAAUACAUCUAACAACAUUAUGUUCCCCAGGCUGUGUCUGCUGAAUGUUACCCAGAAUACGUAUAACUACGAUAUGUUUCCCAGGCUGUGUAUAGAUGUUGUAUAUUACCCAGGCUAUGUCUAGAUGUUGUAUGUUACCCAGGCUGUGUCUAGAUGUUGUAUAUUACCCAGGCUGUGUCUAGAUGUUGUAUAUUAGGCUUUGUCUAGAUGUUAUAUAUUACCCAUGCUAUGUCUAGAUGUUGUAUAUUACCCAGGCUAUGUCUUGAUACUGUAUGUUACCCAGGCUAUGUCUAGAUGUUGUAUAUUACCCAGGCUGUGUCUAGAUGUUGUAUAUUACCCAGGCUAUGUCUAGAUACUGUAUGUUACCCAGGCUAUGUCUAGAUACUGUAUGUUACCCAGGCUAUGUCUAGAUGUUGUAUAUUACCCAGGCUGUGUCUAGAUGUUGUAUAUUACCCAGGCUAUGUCUAGAUGUUGUAUGUUACCCAAGCUAUGUCUAGAUGUUGUAUGUUACCCAGGCUAUGUCUAGAUAAUGUAUGCUACGUUUAUCUACUAUCCUGGCUGUCCAUCACAGAGUUCUGUGUAUGUCUGUGUAUUGCCCUAGGUCAUAUCUGUUGCUGGUAGAGCCCAGCGCUGAUCACUCUGCUUUUAAUUAACCAUAUUAACAUGAACACAUUAUCUUUCUCUCUGCUUUUAAUUAACCAUAUUAACAUAAACACUUUAUCUUCCUCUCUCUCUCUCACUCCGUUGCCCUCUCUAUACUCUCUCUCACCCCUCCCUUUUUGUAUUUACCCCUGCAUCCCUCUCCCUGUCUUCCUACAAUAGUGCUGUUAGAUGGCCUCAGGCUAUCCCGACCAGCUGCAUUAAACCUGGACUAAUCAACCAAAUUCUCUCUCUUUCUCUCUCUCUCUCACACACACACACACACACACAGAGAGAGGAUGUAGAGAGGAUUAACAGGGUUGGAACUAGGUCUAAACACAUUCAUGGUGGGUGUUCUGAAUGUGGUGGCUUUCUUGCCUACAGGGAUCUAGAGUUCUAAUGAGCAGUGUAUUUGGUAAGUGCAUGAAGUAGCCAGCCAGUAGAAAAAGCAGACAAGCAAGUAGGAAAAGUAGCCAACCAAGUAGGAAAAGUUGCCAGCCAAGUAGGAGAAGUAGCCAGCCAGGGAAUUAUGUGCUGAGUGCAUGAACGAGCACUGUCUUGGUGGCCUCUUUUGCAGUCUAAUGCCUUGAUUCUAUCCCAAAUACACAGCUAAAAUGUUGAAUAAUUUAACGAGAAGUGGUACUGAGAAGAAAAUAAUCAUAAAAAAUGAAAAUAGAGACAAGAUAGUAAUUACUAACAAUUGAAUACCACGAAAUUGGGGAGAAAAGAGAGUAAAAUUAUUUGUAAAAAUGUUUAAAAAAUUAAAAAAAUUAAUAUAUGAAUUCAGUUUUUUAGAUGUUUUAAUAUCAUCUAGGCCUAUAUGAUCAAUAAGUAUGAGAACCUUUGAGUUUGGCCUGUCAAUCAGUUACUGUGGG